rnacentral:rRNA from 1 species
AGCAGUGGGGAAUAUUGGACAAUGGGGGGAACCCUGAUCCAGCCAUGCCGCGUGUGUGAAGAAGGCCUUUUGGUUGUAAAGCACUUUAAGCGAGGAGGAGGCUACCGAGAUUAAUACUCUUGGAUAGUGGACGUUACUCGCAGAAUAAGCACCGGCUAACUCUGUGCCAGCAGCCGCGGUAAUACAGAGGGUGCGAGCGUUAAUCGGAUUUACUGGGCGUAAAGCGUGCGUAGGCGGCUUUUUAAGUCGGAUGUGAAAUCCCUGAGCUUAACUUAGGAAUUGCAUUCGAUACUGGGAAGCUAGAGUAUGGGAGAGGAUGGUAGAAUUCCAGGUGUAGCGGUGAAAUGCGUAGAGAUCUGGAGGAAUACCGAUGGCGAAGGCAGCCAUCUGGCCUAAUACUGACGCUGAGGUACGAAAGCAUGGGGAGCAAACAGGAUUAGAUACCCUGGUAGUCCAUGCCGUAAACGAUGUCUACUAGCCGUUGGGGCCUUUGAGGCUUUAGUGGCGCAGCUAACGCGAUAAGUAGACCG